rnacentral:lncRNA from 1 species
AAGAUAUGAGGCCGAUUUAACUGUAUCUGUUGUAUUCUUUAUCUCUAGUUCAAUGGGAUAGAUGCGUUCGACAUAGUCACCAAAUUUUGAAUUAUUUAGUGAAAGAACAUCAUCUUUAUAGCAGAACGUAGAGUUAAAGGAUAUUGCUACCUUCUUAUCUUUUUCCUAAGAAGUUCCUGUAUGAAUUCAGCCUCAUAAUUAUAAAGAAACAAGUCGGCAAGAAGA